CGCGGGGCGGGAGGCGGUCAGGAGCGGUGGCCCUUCAUGCGGGCCGCGGACGCGAUCGUGGCGCGGGCCUCGCGU
rnacentral:tRNA from 1 species